AUUGAACGCUGGCGGCGGGCCUAACACAUGCAAGUCGAACGAGUGGCGGACGGGUGAGUAAUUUCUGGGCAACUGCCUGACGGACGGGGCUAACUACUGGAAACGGUAGCUAAUACCGCCUACCGUCGGAUGUGCCCAGAUGGGAUUAGCUAGUCGGUGGGGUAAAGGCUCACCUAGGCGACGAUGCCUACCUGGUCUGAGAGGCUGACCGGCCACACUGGAACUGAGACACGGUCCAGACUCCUACGGGAGGCAGCAGUAGGGAAUAUUGCACAAUGGGCGCAAGUCUGAUGCAGCAAUGCCGCGUGUAUGAAGAAGGCCUUCGGGUUGUAAAGUACUUUCAGCAGGGAGGCGUUACCCGCAGAAGAAGCACCGGCUAACUCCGUGCCAGCAGCCGCGGUAAUUC
rnacentral:rRNA from 1 species